CCAUCAGCUGAAAGAGACUUGAGGGAGGGGACAAUCCCCAAUAACUGACAGCUUGUGUUCUGAGGCCAUUGCACUGAUGAAGCAUACAGCUGAUGAAGGAAUUGUUAUGACGAAGAUGAAGCAGACCUUCAACUAUCGCCAAAAGAUCAUUCAUGAUCCAGUGAAGUCCUCUGAUGUCUUUCUGGCCUUCCCAAGAUUCCUGGACAUACAAGGAUUAAUUGAGCAAGAUUUUACUUUGAUGUUUGAUGAUGACAUCUCUGCAAAGUUCCUGGAGAAGUGGCCCACAAUUUACAAGAAAAAAGUCCUUGAACAAAGCCGUGGUCUCAGUCGGAUGAUCUGCAGUACCUCGUCCAGACUGCUGAAUCCACAACAGAAGUCGAAAGUGGAUGGGACAGUGACAUGUCGUCCAUUUUGAUCCUUGUGCACCUGCUGCC